GGGGUUGUGGCUCAGAGGUAGAGUGCUUGCCUAGCAUGGAUGAGGCACUGGGUUCGAUAUUCAGCACCUCG
rnacentral:tRNA from 1 species